rnacentral:rRNA from 1 species
GGUGGCCGUAACUAUAACGGUCCUAAGGUAGCGAAAUUCCUUGUCGGGUAAGUUCCGACCCGCACGAAAGGCGCAACGAUCUGGGCACUGUCUCAACGAGAGACUCGGUGAAAUUAUAGUACCUGUGAAGAUGCAGGUUACCCGCGACAGGACGGAAAGACCCCGUGGAGCUUUACUGCAACCUGAUAUGGAAUGUUUGUACCGCUUGUACAGGAUAGGUAGGAGCCGAAGAGACGUGUGCGCUAGCAUACGAGGAGGCAAUGGUGGGAUACUACCCUGGCUGUAUGACCAUUCUAACCCGCCACGCUUAGCGCGUGGGGAGACAGUGUCAGGUGGGCAGUUUGACUGGGGCGGUCGCCUCCUAAAGAGUAACGGAGGCGCCCAAAGGUUCCCUCAGAAUGGAUGGAAAUCAUUCGCAGAGUGUAAAGGCACAAGGGAGCUUGACUGCGAGACUGACAAGUCGAGCAGGGACGAAAGUCGGGCUUAGUGAUCCGGUGGUUCCGCAUGGAAGGGCCAUCGCUCAACGGAUAAAAGCUACCCCGGGGAUAACAGGCUUAUCUCCCCCAAGAGUCCACAUCGACGGGGAGGUUUGGCACCUCGAUGUCGGCUCGUCGCAUCCUGGGGCUGUAGUCGGUCCCAAGGGUUGGGCUGUUCGCCCAUUAAAGCGGCACGCGAGCUGGGUUCAGAACGUCGUGAGACAGUUCGGUCCCUAUCCGUCGCGGGCGCAGGAAAUUUGAGAGGAGCUGUCCUUAGUACGAGAGGACCGGGAUGGACACACCGCUGGUGUACCAGUUGUUCCGCCAGGAGCAUCGCUGGGUAGCUAUGUGUGGCAGGGAUAAACGCUGAAAGCAUCUAAGCGUGAAGCCCCCCUCAAGAUGAGAUUUCCCAUUUCUUCGGAAAGUAAGAUCCCUGAAAGAUGAUCAGGUAGAUAGGUUUGGAGUG